GCACGCGGCAACCCCCGCCCAUCCGCGAUCCAUCGGCUCAUCCCCUUCCUCGCAUACCGCUCAACCCUCGCAAAAAUAGAAGCCGCCGUCUCCCUCGCUCCAUCCCCCGCCGCCGCCGUCUCCCUCGCUCCAUCCCCCGCCACCCCCACCGCUCGACAAAGCCGCCGUCCUCACUCCAUCUCCACCCUUCGGCGCUCGGCCGAAGUCGCCUCCCCUCGCUCCGUUCCACCACCGGCAUUCCAUCCCCAUCCACUCAUCGCAGCUCGAUCCCAUCUAGCCCAACGGCGGCGGCGGCGGCAGACGUAGAGAGCGCGCGGUGGUGCGCCUCGACGGCGGCGGUAGCGGACGGCUGGGCGGCACGCGACGCCAUGAGGCAGCUCGGGCCUCACCUAUGCUGGCGUCUACUCCAUGCCGCUCAGGUUGGAGAUCAAGUUGAGUCUUCCGUACGUCGCCAUGGCGUUGUCUCGCCGUCGAGGCGUCCGAAGCCUCCAUCCUGGUGCCCAACUGGAGUUCAAAGGGUGCCUUUUCCAAAGGAGAGGAAAGAAAAAGCAGUUGGGGGAGGAUUAGGGAGAAUUGAAUUCUAGGGGGGUUGGGGAAACCCUAGCCGCCGCCGGAAUUUGGGGGCCAAAUCCAGCGCCUGCCGGGCCAGACCCCUCCUCCUUUCACUCCAGCGGCCUUCCCUCACCUCCCAGCACUCCACCAAGGAAGGAAAGCUGGUGCAAGAUUUUUCAAGAAUCAAGGCUCCUCAGUUGCUCAGAUGCCUCAGGCAGUGCAAGUUGGUGAGAGAGAAGGGGCUGUUGACCCAAAGUUGUUAACUAGAUAAUUAGUCUAUCAGUUGUUAAGAACCAUUAUCAUUUUUUUAUAGUUCUGCCUAGGGUUUAUUAUGAAUUUAUACAAUCUUUUCAAAUUGAGUUCAGGUAAAAAAUUCAGAAUGCUAGCAAUGCGUUAUGAGCUGCAUUUGUACCUUCUUUUGCAGAAGCGAGACGAUCUUUUGCCAAAUAGAGAUAAAUCAAACUUAUUUUCACAAGGACUAUACAAUCAGUUUCAGUUAUUUCAAAUGGUAUAGGCCCAUUAAUCAAAACCAGUCAUGUAUAUCAGCUGAUGGGUACAUGAAAAAGCCUAUUAUCAUUUGAUCAGGACUGGGAUAGAGAACAGAAAGAUGCUGAAGCUGCAGGAGUAUUCUUACCCAUUCUUUCAUGGUAAGAUCAAUGACAGGAUCUGGGAAAAUAUGUGCUUAGUCACUUGAUAACUUGUGACCACUUGCAUAAUAUCACUCAUGAACGUUGACAGAUGACUUAGUCAUGUAAGGUUUUUUUUGUAUUCCUGUUAUCCUGAUUUUGGGUAGAGUUUGAAGCAACAGUCUAGAAAAAGUAAUUGUUCAUUUGGUUGUUGGCAAUAACUGACAUCCGCAGUUCUUUUCAUCAAUAUGAGAACCAAUCAUCAUAUUACAGGCAUGCUUCAGUUACUACAUUGGUUCUGAGUUCACACACCGGUUGUUCUCAUGUCUCCAAUAGGAACCUAAGAUGAUCACUGCAACCACCCUCUGUUAAUUCCUUCCUGGCAAGCAUGACACCCAAUCUGCAAUGGAAACCAGCAGCUCGCGAUUUAUGAUUGUAGUCGUAUAUUCAGUCUUGUAAGUUGUAGCCUGAAACAUGAUGCAUCACUUGAAACAUGAUCUAUUUUCUCAUAUUUUGUUGAAGCUGGAUUGUAUUUUAUCAAAUGAUUUAUGCGCUUGGAACAAUUGUAGUCCAUGCACGACAACCUUAUGAGUAUGAUAUUUAUGAGAAAAGUAGCUGAGCUGUGAUGCGAGUUUCUGAUC